rnacentral:rRNA from 1 species
AGCGAACGCUGGCGGCAGGCUUAACACAUGCAAGUCGAACGGGCUUCUUCGGAAGUCGGUGGCAGACGGGUGAGUAACACGUUGGAACGUGCCCUUCGGUUCGGAAUAACUCAGGGAAACUUGAGCUAAUACCGGAUACGCCCUUUUGGGGAAAGGUUUACUGCCGAAGGAUCGGCCCGCGUCUGAUUGGCUUGUUGGUGGGGUAACGGCCUACCAAGGCGACGAUCAGUAGCUGGUCUGAGAGGAUGAUCAGCCACACUGGGACUGAGACACGGCCCAGACUCCUACGGGAGGCAGCAGUGGGGAAUAUUGGACAAUGGGCGCAAGCCUGAUCCAGCCAUGCCGCGUGAGUGAUGAAGGCCUUAGGGUUGUAAAGCUCUUUUGUCCGGGACGAUAAUGACGGUACCGGAAGAAUAAGCCCCGGCUAACUUCGUG